GAGGGUAUAGCUCAGUGGUAGAGUGCAUGCCUAGCAUGCAUGAAGUCCUGGGUUCAACUCCCAGGACCUCCA
rfam:Camelus ferus unplaced genomic scaffold scaffold884, whole genome shotgun sequence.